UUCAGCGUCGCCGCGCAAGCGGCAGCGUGCACUUUGCCCUUAGUAGGACGUUGCGAUACGUUAGGAAUCGGUGCUUGCGCACCAGUAGGCUAUCAAAAGGCCGGCGCAAAGUUCCCGGUGGCAAACAGUGGGGUCGUAGCGGCCUCGCAUAUUGCCCCAGGAGUGUGCCUGGUUCUGCUGUAGCUGCCUGACGUGUUUUACCGGCCGCAUCGCUCAAUCCCUCGGGAUUGCCCGCCUCGCGUGGGUCAGAUGCGGCCCGAUCAGCAACGGUUAAAUUUGGGAUACCUUUGGGACCCGUCUUGAAACACGGACCAAGGAGUCUAUCUAGUGUGCGAGUAAGUGAGCUCCAUCGGAAACUCACUUGCGGAAAAAACUUGACUGUUGUGGGACUACGAUGGCCUCGCCUUGCGCGAGCCUUCCUCCGUCCCGGGGUAUCUUCAUCACAUGCCGUCGCCUUCACGGGUGGUGGCAUAGAAGAUAUACCAUGAGCACACUGGAUAUGACCCGAAAGAUGGUGAACUAUGCCUGAUCAGGUUGAAGUCAGGGGAAACCCUGAUGGAGGACCGAAGCAAUUCUGACGUGCAAAUCG
rnacentral:rRNA from 1 species